GACGAACGCUGGCGGCGUGCCUAAUACAUGCAAGUCGAGCGAGCGGAACUAACAGAUUUACUUCGGUAAUGACGUUAGGAAAGCGAGCGGCGGAUGGGUGAGUAACACGUGGGGAACCUGCCCCAUAGUCUGGGAUACCACUUGGAAACAGGUGCUAAUACCGGAUAAGAAAGCAGAUCGCAUGAUCAGCUUUUAAAAGGCGGCGUAAGCUGUCGCUAUGGGAUGGCCCCGCGGUGCAUUAGCUAGUUGGUAAGGUAAAGGCUUACCAAGGCGAUGAUGCAUAGCCGAGUUGAGAGACUGAUCGGCCACAUUGGGACUGAGACACGGCCCAAACUCCUACGGGAGGCAGCAGUAGGGAAUCUUCCACAAUGGACGCAAGUCUGAUGGAGCAACGCCGCGUGAGUGAAGAAGGUUUUCGGAUCGUAAAGCUCUGUUGUUGGUGAAGAAGGAUAGAGGUAGUAACUGGCCUUUAUUUGACGGUAAUCAACCAGAAAGUCACGGCUAACUACGUGCCAGCAGCCGCGGUAAUACGUAGGUGGCAAGCGUUGUCCGGAUUUAUUGGGCGUAAAGCGAGCGCAGGCGGAAGAAUAAGUCUGAUGUGAAAGCCCUCGGCUUAACCGAGGAACUGCAUCGGAAACUGUUUUUCUUGAGUGCAGAAGAGGAGAGUGGAACUCCAUGUGUAGCGGUGGAACGCGUAGAUAUAUGGAAGAACACCAGUGGCGAAGGCGGCUCUCUGGUCUGCA
rnacentral:rRNA from 1 species